UACGUAGGGUGCAAGCGUUGUUCGGAAUUAUUGGGCGUAAAGCGCGUGUAGGUGGUUAGGUAAGUCGAUUGUGAAAUCCCUGGGCUCAACCGAGGAAGUGCAGUCGAAACUGUCUAGCUAGAGGACGGUAGAGGAAGGUGGAAUUCCUAGUGUAGAGGUGAAAUUCGUAGAUAUUAGGAGGAAUACCGGCGGCGAAGGCGGCCUUCUGGGCCGUUCCUGACACUGAGACGCGAAAGCGUGGGUAGCAAACAGG
rnacentral:rRNA from 1 species